GUGUUCGUAGAAAGGAGAGAUGGUUGGCAUCUCCCCUGACAGGGACGGGAACAGCCUUCGGGCUUCCCUGUUACCUACACAUCCGGUUAAGGCUCCCCACCCUUCUGGGUGGAUCUCUAACCCAAUUUUUUU
rnacentral:ncRNA from 1 species